CCAAACCCCUCUUCCCACCCCCAGGCUCCUGUCCUGCCCCUCCCACUUAUUUCUGUCUGCCCACACUGUCUGUCCUGGGGGAGCAGGCAGGGAAGGGUUAACAUACCUGCCUGGCCUCCACUACUGCUGCUACUGCCAGGCUGCUGUUUUUCUCUGGGCUCAGCCCAGACCAAAGAGCUGUGGAGGUGCAGCCAGACAGGCAGGUUAACCCUUACCUGUCUGCUUCCCACAACACACAGCAUGGGCACCCACAAAUUUUCUUGUAAACUAUUUCUUCAGCUAGGAGAGAGUGGAACACUGAAUUGGAAGUGUAUUCUCAAAAGAAACCUCACAGCUUCUAGUGCUGUAGAAAUCUGUGAUGGGUUCUACAGGAUACCACUGUGCACUCCAAAG